rnacentral:rRNA from 1 species
UACGUAGGUGGCAAGCGUUGUCCGGAUUUACUGGGUGUAAAGGGCGUGUAGGCGGAGCUGCAAGUCAGAUGUGAAAUCUGGGGGCUUAACCCUCAAACUGCAUUUGAAACUGUAGCCCUUGAGUAUCGGAGAGGCAGGCGGAAUUCCUAGUGUAGCGGUGAAAUGCGUAGAUAUUAGGAAGAACACCAGUGGCGAAGGCGGCCUGCUGGACGACAACUGACGCUGAGGCGCGAAAGCGUGGGGAGCAAACAGG